AGAUGUAGGGGUCUCUGUCUGGCUUCUCCAUGCUGUGAAGGGGGAAUUAGGAAAGCGAUAGCUGGGGUGAUUGUAGAUGGAGAGGAAGAGAUGAAGGGGUACUGAGGGAGAAAGUGGGAAGGAAGAGGAGGGAUGCAGCCAAGGCCCUCUGGCUCCUCAGCCUGCAGCUCAAACUCUGGCAGUAGGGUUGUGGUGUGGGGCUAUGGCUGACUGUGUUGGCAACUAUCAGGGUUGUGGUGGGACCAAGUUGGCAGAGCUAUAAUGGCACCCCUGUACGAGCUGUGACUGGCAUAGACCUCCUGGGAGAUCUGCUUGUUGACAAUUGGUGCAGAAUUGGAGAAGACAAAUUGAUGCUGGGAGCAUUUUCCAUGUUUUGAGAUUUGGGUUUGUGUGCUUGGUUGUUGAAAUGGAAUUGACACUUGAUACAUUUUGGUCAUUUUAACUGAAUUCUUAUCCAGAGCGACUUAGUUAUUGCAUGGACGGUGUUUUUAAAUGCUUCCUGACAUUUUCUCCCCUCUCCCAUUCUCUCCUUCCUCUCUCCUUUUUGUUCUUUCAGUUGGGCCUGGCAGUAACGGUGGCAGUCCGUUUGGUGGUCAGUAUGGCCAGGGGGGGCCAGGGCAGGGGGUGAACCCCCAGCCGCUUCAGAAAAAGGCAGCACCCCUUACCACCGCCGUCACCAGCGUGUCAAACCUGCUCCAGCAGCAGCCCGGGCAGCAGGUGCCCUCGGUGGGCAUGGUCCCUGUGCCCGGCAGUGUAUCCAUCACUGGCCCCACGGCCGACCCGGAGAAGCGCAAACUGAUCCAACAGCAGUGGUGCUCCUGCUCCACGCCCACAAGUGCCAGCGGCGCGAGCAAGCCAAUGGAGGUGCGGGCCUGCGCCUGCCACACUGCGCCACCAUGAAGAAUGUCCUCAACCACAUGACCCACUGCCAGGCCGGCAAGUCCUGCCAGGGUCAGUACUGGGGGGGGUCAAGGUCUGGCACUGUGACUAUGGAGGGUGGGGACUCAUCCUCGAUGUGGAGUAGCACCAUGGCUGGGUCGUUGACGCCAGGGUUUCUCUCUCCCCCUGUCUCCAUCACUCCUCCCUCCCUCCACUCAUCCUAUCUGACUUCUCUCAAGUAACACAAAGGCCAGACUCUCUCCUUCACUCAUAACGGUCACACCCUGCAUCGGACUAAUCUGGUCACGCCACUGGGGAUUUCCAGUUCUACACCUCGAAUGCUACUUUCCCACUCUCUCCCCUUUUCUCUUUCCCUCUCAAUCCUUUCUCUUUCUUUCCCUUCAUUCUCUAGUUGUAUUUUCUCUUUCAUGGCUUUAAUGGAAAAUUCCCCUCCAGCCUCCCUCUCAUUUAUGUCUGGCCUGGUAUGCUGUCUGGUUGAAGUGUCAUAUGAAGCCAAACACUUGUGCAUGCCAAGUCGUUGGUUCUUCGUGUCUCUGCCAGCUCAUUUCCUUCGGCUACCCACCACCCAAAUAAUCAGCACGAACGUUCCUCUUCAGAGUAAUUGUUCCUUUUUCUCAGAUCUAAAGUAAAUAGAGUUGUAUUUUCUUAGGUGAUUCUGGUGCUUGGAUUGGCUUGUUUUGAGAAUUCACAGAAUCUAAGUAAACUGUUGCUAAGCUCUUAUUAUGAGGGGUUGUGUAUUGAAUCUGUAAGAAAUUCAUUUUGAGAUAUAUUUGAGGGUAUUAUUAUUAAUGCUCAAACAGUCUUGCCAUGUUGGUGUAUUCCUUAAUAGUUAUGCAUUCAUACUUCUCUACACCGCUUCGAGCAAUUUAUUCACUUAGCUGUCACUUUCAUGUAUACUUGCCUUUAGUUCUAGACUCCCUCUUUUCCUACCCCAGGGCUUGCCCAGGGCUAUCCCAGGGCUAGUGGCAGCAGCAGGCACAUCAGUCGGGGUCAUCUUCAGUUGGGCGAAAACGUUUUAAAACAUUCUGAAAUGRGGAGGUUCUACUUGAAUUUCUCCAAUAAUAAUUGCCAGAUUCUAGUUUACCGUUGCAAAAUGUUUUGCUAUUGUGUGCCCUACUGACAGGAUCCAGGGCUCUCUGUUAGUCAAUUUGGGUUCUCUGCUCUGGAGAAUAGAGGGAACCCAAUAUGUCUGCUACAAAUCCAGGAGAAACAUGUUUUGUUGUUUCUUGUUCUCUCCCUAAUGAGGCCAAUGACWAGGUGCUGAAUUUGCCCAAUUAUUUUUUUCUUCUGUUGAACAGGGCCCUGGGACUCUCUKUUAGCCAGUUAGCCAACACUGCCAGGAGAAACCCAAUCUGGCAGGUACAGAUUCCAGAACCAAAAAAAACARUUUGUUUUGGUUGUAGUUCUCUUCUUCUGCCUCCCAAGGCCAUAUGUAGUAGACUCUUCCCAGUCUGAAUUAUCCCUGUGAGAAGCCUGGUAUGAUAACCAGGCCUUUGGGGAGUCUCUGGUUUCUCCUCAAUUUCUUGUUCUCCCUCGGUGUUAUAACAAGCCAAGACUUAUUGUUUAAGGCCUUGCUGCUUUCUGUGUUGCUUUGGAAGGCCUGGAUGCUGUUGGCACGAAUACACUCUUGCUCUCUUAAAGUGCAUUUUGUACUCAUGUCAGAGAUAUUAUAGGCUCCUCUUCCUGGUCAAUGUAGAAUAUGAAAAUCUGGGGUUAUAUAAAUAUUGGCUGUUGCUUUUUGUUUUGAGAGCCAGUGUUGGUUGUCUAACUUUGUUCUGUAGUUGCUCACUGAACACACAGAUGGUGCCUUACUGUGUGGCCUCCGGGUUGCGAGCUCGAACCCAACUCGGCUAAUUUGGGAUUAUUUUGGCAUUUAUUUGUACUUUAUUUUCACAAUGUAUCCGCUAUCAGUUCUUAAAACCGACAAUAACUUUUGAACAUCAGAUCGUCAGUUACUUAGGCCAAAUCCAGCUUCAACUUCGACUAAUCUGCCCUGGACUCUCUGUAAUUCCGACCCAAUUUUCGGGGUAUCCAAGUGAAAACGCCGGCGUUCGAGACGAGAGGGGGAGUAUUUGCGCGAUUAAGGCAAAGGGAAAACUGGCCCCCUCUUCCCUCCAUUCUACUGGCCACUUGAUAAUAAGAUUGAUGAUUGACGACCGCAAUCAUCAAUCUCUGCUGUUAUCGUGACUGUUGUAUACAUUCCACCUCAGAACAAGAAAAAUAACACGCUGGAACUUAAUAAACUAUGCGAGGCUAUAAACAAGCAGGAAAACUUGCACCCAGAGGCUGCUUUCCUUGUUUCCGGCGCUUUUUAUCUUUUAGUUMGCGUCAUUAACCUCUKCAGGAUCGGUGUCCUGACAAUAGUUCCUCAACGUAGCCUAUUUGAAAAAUCUUUCCAGCUCUCUUCCUUUCGAUAACCACUCCGAAUGAAAUGGGGGAAAAAUGUCAUGCUCUGAUCCGGUAGAAAAUCCAUACCUGAUUUACUUCUUAUCUCUUGGUGGCACAAAUAAGCCUACAGCUGUGUCUGUCUGGAGUUCACUGGGACGGAAACUGAGGGCCCAGAGUAUUUUAUGCAAGUUUGCUAUCACAGCUUCUUCCGGAACAAGUUGAUAGCUUGUCUGCAAGGAACUUCAAACAUUGUAUGCGUGGCCAAUGUGUUUUUUUAGGAUAUGGGUUUUUAUCAUGAUAUUUUCUACCUCCGCGCUGCAAUGAUUUUAUUUGUUGGCUUUUUAUGUAGGCUAUUUUGACAUUCUCAUGUGGAAAGCCUACGUAGGACACACGAAAAGACAAUUGCAACAACGUAUAGCUGAACACCACAGCUCAAUCAGGUGUAAGAACAUUGACUAUCCAGUAGCAGCUCACUUUGUUGAAGCUAACCAUCCAAUCUGCUCCCUCAAAUACACAGGCAUUGAGCAUGUUGCUCUACCAAGGAGGGGAGGUAACAUGGAGAUCCUACUACUACUAAGGGAGGCUUACUGGAUAUCCUAUCUAAAAAUGUUGGCCCCCUAGUGGUCUGAAUAUUUACUUUGCUCUCAGACCCAUCUUAUGAAGUUUUUUAUGAAUUGAUAUAUUUCUACAACUUAUUAGCAUACGCCUAAUAUGUUCCCCCUGUUGAUGCUUAUUAUGCAUUAAGGUUGAACCAAAAGACUACAUGUAACAAAUAUAAAUUAAAUAGGAAACCAUUAAAUAUGUGACAUUGAAUUAAACAAUAAUGCCUGUUGAUGCUAAUAUUAUGGACAAUAUUCAAUUGCUUGCUAAUGAUAACAAUAGCCUAAUAUUUAAUAUGCCAUAAACUAUUGAUUUAAGUUUCACUCAAUUAAUUCUAAUUAACUCUAAUAAUUGACUCAACCCUCACACCCCCCUGUGAUUGGUUGCACUAAUUGCACUGUUUGUCUACAUAACCUGGUUCAAGUAUUCAUGACAUUACCCUGAAGGCACAGUGAAGCUGAAAUGUUGAUGAUUUAACCUAUACAUUAUAUGUAGUGUGCGACUCUAUCUUAGUUUAUUCGCCUUCAGUCAUAUUGGCAAUGGCAAUAGAAGUUACUUUMAGAUUUGUAUCAUUUUAAUUUAGAUAGAAUUAUGAUUAACCACAUGACGUUGAUUUAGACAUUCGAAAACGUUAUAACUGAAAUGAAACUGUUCUUAGAAAAUGUGCAGAUAAAAAUCAUAACUGACAAGCAGAGCAGUGGAAAUGGUACGCUAACUUAUCACUCCAAAUGGAAAAGGUGGCCGACCUUCGGUGUAGCCUAUUACCGGCAACUUUAGGAACGUAAUGAUAGAAUCUGCCAAGGCCACCGGGGGAGGAYGGGGUCAAGAACAGGUUAUUUCUUCUGGUUUGGCUAUAUUAUCUCUGGCUCCCUCUUUUUAGUAAUUUGUCAUUUUUAAUCGCAGUGCUUAAAGCACCAGACAAGCUCGGUAGCCAACAUAUAUAUAUAGUUGAUUUUAUUCAAACAGGUUGUGUCUAUACAGUGCAUUCAGAAAGUAUUCAGACCCCUUAAUCUUUUCUACAUUUUGUUACAUUAUAGCCUCAUUCUAAAAUUAAUAAAAUUAAAACUGAUACCUUAUUUCCACAAGUAUUCAGACCCUUUGCUAUGAGACUCGAAAUUGAGCUCAGGUGCAUUCUGUUAACAUUGAUCAUGCUUGAUGUUCCUAAAACUUGAUUGGAGUCCACUUGUGGCAAAUUCAAUUGAUUGAACACGAGAAAGGCACACCUGUCUAUAUAAAGGUCCCACAGUUGACAGUGCAUGUCAGAGCAAAAACCAAGCCAUGAGGUUGAAGGAAUUGUCUGUAGAGCUCAGAGACAGGAUUGUGUCAAGGCACAGAUCUGGGGAAGGGUACCAAAACAUUUCUGCACCAUUGAAGGUCCCCAAGAACACAGUGGCCUCCAUCAUUCUUCAAUGGAGAAAAACCACCAAGACUCUUCCWAGAGCUGGCUGCCCAGCCAAACUUAGCAAUCAGGGGAGAAGUGRCUUGGUCAGGGAUGUGACCAAGGACUCAAUGCUCACUCUAACAGAGUUCCUCUGUGGUGAUGGGAGAACCUUCCAGAAGAACACCCAUCUCUGCAGCACUCCACCAYUCAGGUCUUUAUGGUAGAGUGGUCAGACAGAAGUCACUCAUCAGUGAAAGGCACAUGACAGCCCGCUUGAAGUUUGCAAAAAGGCACCGAAGACCUCUCUGGCCAUGAGAGCUGUGGGGAUGUUUUUCAGCAGCCGACUGGGAGACUAGUCAGGAUCGAGGGAAAGAUGAACAGAGCAAAGUACAAAGAGAUCCUGUG
rnacentral:lncRNA from 1 species